rnacentral:lncRNA from 1 species
UUCUACUUUUUCAUCCUCAAUAACAUUCAAGGCAAGAACAACCUAACACAUAAUUAUAUUUUGUAGAAUGGAUGCCCCAUUUCAAGGCUAGAAUGCAUUCCCGUUAUGGUCAUUGGGAUGCUUUUUCAAUAGCAGUAGCUUUUCUUUUAACGUUUCGUUCCGAAUUAGUUUCCUACAACAAUGAGAGCAUAGCAACAAUUACUC